UUCAAAUUAUUUUUAAAAAAAGAAAAUCCCACAAUAUCUGCUUUGAAAUGGGUUAUCUGAGUCCAUACUUAGAUAAUGUGGGAUGAACAUGCCUUGAUAUUCUGGGAUAUAGGGCUGUGUGGAAGGGUUCUGGGUUAUAUGGGUCUGUGUGGAAGGGCCCAGAGAAGGAUGUGGUCCAGAGUGCAAAAUCAUGGGAUGCUGACUGCCUCCUGCUCCUCCUCGGUACCUCCCCUGGUUUGCCAAAGCCGCCCUUUCCUCUCCUCCUCCUCCAUCCCUCCCUCCCUCCUUCUCUCCUUCUCUCCCUCCCUCCUUCUGCCUCUCCUCCCUCCUCCAAUCGCAGCCUCCCUUACUGCCUGGUGGGCUGAGUGAGCUGCAGCCCCAUCGCCCAGCUGAUCCCAGCCGCCUCGGCCAUGGCAGCACCAGAUUCAGGCAGUGGCCCUCCUCCUGGGCAGCCUGCCCCAUUUCCCCCUGCCCCACCACCUCCACCAAUUCUGCCUCCUCCCUUUAUGCCUCCUCCUGGGAUCCCACCACCCUUUCCCCCAAUGGGAUUACCACCAAUGGGACCACGCCCACCCCCCAUGCCACCCAUGCCCCCAGGUAUGAUGCCACCUCCCCCAUUGAUCCCACCCAUGCCUGGACCGCCACCUUUGGGACAGAUUCCCACUAUGGUGCCACCCAUGCUGCCUGGGAUGAUGAUGCCUGGGGUGCCAGCAGGGCCUGUUCCUGUCACUGGAGGGGUGAGUAUCUGGGAGGAGCAGGAGCUCAUGAGAGUAGAGAAUGGGGUGGGAGUGGAGGACGUGCUUCAGCCUUGGGGCUGAAUACCAAGUUAGAAAAAGUCAUGAGGUGUGCAUGUCAUCCAAUGGGCUUUUAACAGUAUGCCGUUUGGUUGACUUUCAUCCUUUGUCUUUGGAUUGAUCUCUUUCAAAUUUUCAUUCUAUAGCUAGGUCAGUGGCAUUUUAUUAAUCACUUCUUGCAUGUUAUUACUUAGUUCCUGCAAUGUGCUUUUAUAUGUAUUUGUUUUAAUUCUUGUAAGCUUCUUUGAGUCCUGGUUUUAGGAAAAUGUGGAGGAAAUAUGAAUUAACCACGAACUCAACAAAGUUGAUUAUGAUGACAACUAUAUUCCUGAUCAUAUGGUGGGGAAUGAGACCAGAUGUAUGUUAAUAAUGUAACAAAAUUUUGAAAAAAAAUAUGUUCCUAGUUAGAAAAUGUUAUUUUCUGUUUAAUUGUGCAGUACUUACUUUGAAAAUAGUUGUUAUAUUCCAGAAACUUCAUUUUUGUGGAGGCUAUGUUGAAUUGGUUGAGACUCUUGUCAGGUAUUGAUUGAAAAACUAUAGCAAAAUGUGCUGUCGGAUGUCUUGCAAAAACAAAGUUUUUGCAGUUUAAUAAACCUUUUCCAUGUGUUUAUGGUAGAACCAGGAGCUGUGGUGGCCCAAUGGGUUAAACUCUUGUGCCGGCUGGACUGCUGACUUAAAGGUUGGGUUGCUGGCCUGAAGGUUGCCAGGGUGAGCUCCCAUCUGUCAGUUCUAGCUUGCGGGACAGGAGAGAAACCUCCCAGCAGGAUAGUAACAUAUCCGGGCAUCCCCUAGGCAACGUAUCUGUAGACUGCCAAUUCUCUCACACCAGAAGCAACUUGCAGUAUGUUCUCAAGUCACUUUUGAACCAAUUAGGAAAUCACAUUUCUAACCCAGGAACAAAAAUCAUGUUACAUAGUGAUUGCUAUCAAGCUAGCUUUAACUUAUGGCAUCCACAUGAAUGAAAUAUCUCCAAGUUCCCCAGCCAUUACUUAUCUUGCUCAGGUUAUGCAAACUCAGGGCUGGAGACUCCUUGGGUAGGAAAAAAAGAAGACUGUCAAGCAUCAUCAUCUUUCAAAUGAGUCCAGUCUUCUCAUGAUAUGUCCCAAGUAUGGUAGCCUCAGAUUAGUUUUUUUGGCUUCUAGGAAAAGUUUGAGCCUGAUUUUCUCUUUCCAGGAAUAGUUCUUACCAAUCUAGAGAUUUCCCCACCAAUAAUACAAAAAGAGAUCUCACAUCUGUCUUUACUCGGAAGUAAGCCCUAUUGCUUACCAAAAAUCAUAAUUCAGUGGUAGCACAACAGCUUUCUCACAUCUCAGUUCUUAGGUCACGUCUUAUUCCCAUAAUUGAUUAGGGUUGACAGCAAAAAAGCGUUGGGUUAAGUGGGAGCGCCGCUUUUGCAGGCUGGUGUUUUCCCGUCCAUGAGGGCCGGAAAUGACGGUCAUCACUGGAAUUCGUUGGCAUUCUGUGAUAAGACCAGGAGGGCUCCUGGAUGACUUGAUCUCUGCCAGUUUCUGCUCUCUGUCUGAACAUUACAGGAGAAAGCAACUGAAGACGGGGAGGGAUUGCAUAUAUCUUGAAGAGGCCAUGUCUGUGUUUAAGUGCUCCAUUGCAUUUGGGCGCUGGACAUGAUGCUCUUGGGUAGAGCUUUGGACUCCGUCUCCCAGAGUCCCCUCUGCCAGUAUGGUUACUGGGAUUUGUGGAAAUUGUAGUCCCAAAAGUAGUAUUCCUCAGCUCUGUUCUAUUAUGGGAGUUUGAGAUUUCCAGAUGGUGGCUGCUACCGUGGAUCAUGUUAUCACCUUGGCCCAGGACAGUGAGACAGCAUUUGCUGACCUUCGGAGGGGGUUUGUGGGUAGCAAGAUUAAUCAUGUUGAAAGUAGACAGUCAAUGCAUCAAGGGCUAUAACAAACACGAACAACACCAUAUUUCAGUGGCUUUGAGAGAACAAGUGGUGUCUGCGUGUGGCAAAUCCAUACACUUAGCCCUUCCCCUCCCCUCCUCUAUUUGAUACUUUUCUGCUCUAAGGGUGCAUUUACACAGCAAAAUCAAUGCAGUUUGACACCACUUUAUGGCUCAAUGCUAUGGAACCCAGGGGGUUGUCGUUUGUCGUUUGGGGAGGAAGCAACCAGCACUAUUAUGUAGAGAAGGCUAAAGACCUUGUAAUACUACAACUCCAAGGAUUUCAUAUCAUUGAGACAAGGCAGUUGAAGUGGUGUCAAACUGUCUUAAUUCUGCAGUGAGAAUGUACCCUAGGAGAGACUGCAGCAGUUUACUUUUGCCUGAGCCUACUGGGAUGGGCAAAUUUCCUCUCCACCUGCUGAAUUAAUGCAGCUUGACAUCAUUUUGUGGCCCAAUGCUAUGGAGUUCUUGGAGCUGUAGUUUGGUAAGUCACUGGAACUCUUUGGCAGAGAAGACUGGAGACCUUAUAAAGCGACUGAUCUCAGGAUUUUGUAUCCCUGAGUCAAGGUAGCUAUAGUGGUGUCAAACUGGAUUAAUGUCACAGUGUAAAUGUCCCCAAGUCACCCUGCUCGGCCCUUUUCACACAGUUGGCAGGGAGGGGGAAUAUUAGAAUAUUCUCCAGCAUUUGCAGAGAGCUGAGUUCAACCUCCUUGAUUUCUUUUUGACAGGCAGCUCCUGUGACUGACCCAUCCAAUGGUAAGGAUCCGGAGCAGUACCUAUUGAUCUACUCACAUUUGCAUGUUUUCGAACUGCUAGGUUGGCAGAAGCUGGGGCUAACAGCAGGUGCUCACUCCGCUCCCCAGAUUCAAAUCUGCGACCUUUUGGUCCGCAAGUUCAGCAGCUCAGCACUUUAUCAC
ensembl:lncRNA